UAAGACAGCUGAAUGAUAGUCGGGCUGAAGACUCUACUUGACUAGCUGAGAGGAGGUGCAUGGCCGUCGUCAGUUCGUACUGUGAAGCAUCCUGUUAAGUCAGGCAACGAGCGAGACCCACGCCAACAGUUGCCAGCUCGUCCUCCGGGAUGGAGGGGACACUGUUGGGACCGCCUCUGCUAAAGAGGAGGAAGGAAUGGGCAACGGUAGGUCAGCAUGCCCCGAAUUAUCUGGGCUACACGCGGGCUACAAUGGGUGGGACAAUCGGGUAUCCCGACACCGGAAAGGUCGUAGGCAAUCUCCUAAACCCAUCCUUAGUUCGGAUUGUGGGCUGCAACUCGCCCACAUGAAGCUGGAAUCUGUAGUAAUCGUGUUUCAAAAUAGCACGGUGAAUAUGUCCCUGCUCCUU
rnacentral:rRNA from 1 species